AUUCGACCACCCGAGCAGAUCUGGUACCUUCACUGUCUCUCACAUGAACAGUUAUAAAAUUUGGCCUAUAUUUUCAAUACUCUAGACAUUUAUUUUUAACUUAGUGUCAGUUACAAAUAUAUGUUGUUGCUCAGACAGGGCCUAAGCCAAGCCGACAGAGGUGGUUCUCUAGAGAGAACCAAUAUUGCUUUGAUCAUUUUUCAGGUGUACCUGCAAAGAAGAGAAAGUUAUUGAACAAAUGAGCACAGAGGCGCUGCUUUUAUAGAGGCCGUAUGCAAAUGAGACUAUGCCAUUGCCUGCUUCUGAUUGGCUCUAGUCGGGGGAUCAAAGUCAUUGCUGGCUCUGAUGUCACUCUGUGACAUGUGGUUGAGUUCUUUAAUACAUAUCACUGGAUUGGAUAUCACAUGACUUUCACAUGACACGGGUGCAUUGUUGCUAUGCAACGACUCAGGACUGCUGCAGUAGCAGCGUCAGAAGUACACAAAACUGAUUCUUUAUGAAACUAGGUUGUUUACGGUGUGUGUCUGGAACUAUUACUUGUUAGACCAAAUAUCACUUAUACCUUAACAUGCCAUAAAACCAAAUAUAUUAUUCCACAUAUCAGUUCCAGUGUUUACAUAUCUCCGUUGAUAGAAAUAUUAAUAAAAGGCAGUGACCUACCACCCUAAAGUCCAAACACUUAACAUAAAACCCCACACUUCAUUAAUUCUGCACACGGAUUCUGCUAUCGGGACUUUUAGAAGUGGUGGUUAGGCUGUGGUAAGUUCCUUUCGAAGGUUAACGGGAGAUCUCUUUCAAAAGUUGUCCAUGUUUUGUACAAACCGCAAUCCCCCACAAAGAUACGUCAGUAGGUUCUCCGGACCAACCACAAUGUUUUACGUCUUCGUAAAACCAAUAUUCAGCCAAUCAGAUAGUGUGACGUCAUCAGCAGGCAUAGGGCCCCGAGCAGAUUCGACCACCCGAGCAGAUCUGGUACCUUCACUGUCUCUCACAUGAACAGUUAUAAAAUUUAGCCCAUAUAUUCAAUACUCUAGACAUUUAUUUUUAACUUAGUGUCAGUUAGUGUCAGUUACAAAUAUAUGUUGUUGCUCAGACAGGGCCUAAGCCAAGCCGACAGAGGUGGUUCUCUAGAGAGAACCAAUAUUGCUUUGAUCAUUUUUCAGGUGUACCUGCAAAGAAGAGAAAGUUAGUAAACAAAUGAGCACAGAGGCGCUGCUUUUAUAGAGGCCGUAUGCAAAUGAGACUAUGCCAUUGCCUGCUUCUGAUUGGCUCUAGUAGGGGGAUCAAAGUCAUUGCUGGCUCUGAUGUCACUCUGUGACAUGUGGUUGAGUUCUUUAAUACAUAUCACUGGAUUGGAUAUCACAUGACUGUCACAUGACACGGGUGCAUUGUUGCUGUGCAACAACUCAGGACUGCUGCAGUAGCAGCGUCAGAAGUACACAAAACUGAUUCUUUAUGAAACUAGGUUGUUCACGGUGUGUGUCUGGAACUAUUACUUGUUAGACCAAAUAUCACUUAUACCUUAACAUGCCAUAAAACCAAAUAUAUUAUUCCACAUAUCAGUUCCAGUGUUUACAUAUCUCAGUUGAUACAAGUAUUAAUAAAUGGCAGUGACCUACCACCCUAAAGUCCAGACACUUAACAUAAAACCCCACACUUCAUUAAUUCUGCACACGGAUUCUGCUAUCGGGACUUUUAGAAGUGGUGGUUAGGCUGUGGUAAGUUCCUUUCGAAGGUUAAUGGGAGAUCUCUUUCAAAAGUUGUCCAUGUUUUGUACAAACCGCAAUCCCCCACAAAGAUACGUCAGUAGGUUGUCCGGACCAACCACAAUGUUUUACGUCAUCGUAAAACCAAUAUUCAGCCAAUCAGAUAGUGUGACGUCAUCAGCAGGCAUAGGGCCCCGAGCUGAUUCGACCACCCGAGCAGAUCUGGUACCUUCACUGUCUCUCACAUGAACAGUUAUAAAAUCUGGCCUAUAUUUUCAAUACUCUAGACAUUUAUUUUUAACUUAGUGUCAGUUACAAAUAUAUGUUGUUGCUCAGACAGGGCCUAAGCCAAGCCGACAGAGGUGGUUCUCUAGAGAGAACCAAUAUUGCUUUGAUCAUUUUUCAGGUGUACCUGCAAAGAAGAGAAAGUUAUUGAACAAAUGAGCACAGAGGCGCUGCUUUUAUAGAGGCCGUAUGCAAAUGAGACUAUGCCAUUGCCUGCUUCUGAUUGGCUCUAGUCGGGGGAUCAAAGUCAUUGCUGGCUCUGAUGUCACUCUGUGACAUGUGGUUGAGUUCUUUAAUACAUAUCACUGGAUUGGAUAUCACGUGACUUUCACAUGACACGGGUGCAUUGUUGCUAUGCAACAACUCAGGACUGCUGCAGUAGCAGCGUCAGAAGUACACAAAACUGAUUCUUUAUGAAACUAGGUUGUUCACGGUGUGUGUCUGGAACUAUUACUUGUUAGACCAAAUAUCACUUAUACCUUAACAUGCCAUAAAACCAAAUAUAUUAUUCCACAUAUCAGUUCCAGUGUUUACAUAUCUCCGUUGAUACAAGUAUUAAUAAAAGGCAGUGACCUACCACCCUAAAGUCCAAACACUUAACAUAAAACCCCACACUUCAUUAAUUCUGCACACGGAUUUUGCUAUCGGGACUUUUAGAAGUGGUGGUUAGGCUGUGGUAAGUUCCUUUCGAAGGUUAAUGGGAGAUCUCUUUCAAAAGUUGUCCAUGUUUUGCACAAACCGCAAUCCCCCACAAAGAUACGUCAGUAGGUUGUCCGGACCAACCACAAUGUUUUACGUCAUCGUAAAACCAAUAUUCAGCCAAUCAGAUAGUGUGACGUCAUCAGCAGGCAUAGGGCCCCGAGCAGAUUCGACCACCCGAGCAGAUCUGGUACCUUCACUGUCUCUCACAUGAACAGUUAUAAAAUUUGGCCUAUAUUUUCAAUACUCUAGACAUUUAUUUUUAACUUAGUGUCAGUUACAAAUAUAUGUUGUUGCUCAGACAGGGCCUAAGCCAAGCCGACAGAGGUGGUUCUCUAGAGAGAACCAAUAUUGCUUUGAUCAUUUUUCAGGUGUACCUGCAAAGAAGAGAAAGUUAGUAAACAAAUGAGCACAGAGGCGCUGCUUUUAUAGAGGCCGUAUGCAAAUGAGACUAUGCCAUUGCCUGCUUCUGAUUGGCUCUAGUCGGGGGAUCAAAGUCAUUGCUGGCUCUGAUGUCACUCUGUGACAUGUGGUUGAGUUCUUUAAUACAUAUCACUGGAUUGGAUAUCACAUGACUUUCACAUGACACGGGUGCAUUGUUGCUAUGCAACGACUCAGGACUGCUGCAGUAGCAGCGUCAGAAGUACACAAAACUGAUUCUUUAUGAAACUAGGUUGUUUACGGUGUGUGUCUGGAACUAUUACUUGUUAGACCAAAUAUCACUUAUACCUUAACAUGCCAUAAAACCAAAUAUAUUAUUCCACAUAUCAGUUCCAGUGUUUACAUAUCUCCGUUGAUAGAAAUAUUAAUAAAAGGCAGUAACCUCCCACCCUAAAGUCUUAACUACUUAACAUCAAACCCACACUUCAUUGAUUGUGCAUACUGGUGUUGCUCUCGGGACUUUUAGAAGUGGUGGUUAGGCUGUGGUAAGUUCCUUUCGAAGGAUAAUGGGAGAUUUCUUUCAAAAGUCAUCUAUCAAUGUUUCGUACAAACAGCAUUCCCCCCUAAAGGUACAUUAGUAGGUUGUCAGGACCAAUCACAAUGAUUUAUAUCAACGUGCCAAUAUUCAGCCAGUCAGAUAGUGUGAUGUCAUCAGCAGGCAUAGGGCCCCAAGCAGAUCCGACCACCCAAGCAGAUCUGGUACCUACACAGUCUCCCACAUGAGCAGUUAUCAAAUUUGGUCUAUAUUUUCAAUACUCUAGACAUUUAUUUUUUACUUAGUGUCAGUUAGUGCCAGUUACAAAUAUAUGUUGUUGCUCAGACAGGGCCUAAGCCAAGCCGACAGAGGUGGUUCUCUAGAGAGAACCAAUAUUGCUUUGAUCAUUUUUCAGGUGUACCUGCAAAGAAGAGAAAGUUAGUAAACAAAUGAGCACAGAGGCGCUGCUUUUAUAGAGGCCGUAUGCAAAUGAGACUAUGCCAUUGCCUGCUUCUGAUUGGCUCUAGUCGGGGGAUCAAAGUCAUUGCUGGCUCUGAUGUCACUCUGUGACAUGUGGUUGAGUUCUUUAAUACAUAUCACUGGAUUGGAUAUCACAUGACUGUCACAUGACACGGGUGCAUUGUUGCUAUGCAACGACUCAGGACUGCUGCAGUAGCAGCGUCAGAAGUACACAAAACUGAUUCUUUAUGAAACUAGGUUGUUCACGGUGUGUGUCUGGAACUAUUACUUGUUAGACCAAAUAUCACUUAUACCUUAACAUGCCAUAAAACCAAAUAUAUUAUUCCACAUAUCAGUUCCAGUGUUUACAUAUCUCCGUUGAUAGAAAUAUUAAUAAAAGGCAGUAUCCUCCCACCCUAAAGUCUUAACUACUUAACAUCAAACCCACACUUCAUUGAUUGUGCAUACUGGUGUUGCUCUCGGGACUUUUAGAAGUGGUGGUUAGGCUGUGGUAAGUUCAUAUCGAAGGAUAAUGUGAGAUUUCUUUCAAAAGUCAUCUAUCUAUGUCUCGUACAAACAGCCUUCCCCCCUAAAGGUACAUUAGUAGGUUGUCGGGACCAAUCACAAUGAUUUAUGUCAACGUGCCAAUAUUCAGCCAGUCAGAUUGUGUGAUGUCAUCAGCAGGCAUAGGGCCCCAAGCAGAUCCGACCACCCAAGCAGAUCUGGUACCUACACAGUCUCCCACAUGAGCAGUUAUCAAAUUUGGUCUAUAUUUUCAAUACUCUAGACAUUUAUUUUUAACUUAGUGUCAGUUAGUGUCAGUUACAAAUAUAUGUUGUUGCUCAGACAGGGCCUAAGCCAAGCCGACAGAGGUGGUUCUCUAAAGAGAACCAAUAUUGCUUUAAUCAUUUUUGAGGUGUACCUGCAAAGAAGAGAAAGUUAGUGAACAAAUGAGCACAGAGGCGCUGCUUUUAUAGAGGCCGUAUGCAAAUGAGACUAUGCCAUUGCCUGCUUCUGAUUGGCUCUAGUCGGGGGAUCAAAGUCAUUGCUGGCUCUGAUGUCACUCUGUGACAUGUGGUUGAGUUCUUUAAUACAUAUCACUGGAUUGGAUAUCACGUGACUGUCACAUGACACGGGUGCAUUGUUGCUAUGCAACGACUCAGGACUGCUGCAGAAGCAGAGUCAGAAGUACACAAAACUGAUUCUUUAUGAAACUAGGUUGUUUACGGUGUGUGUCUGGAACUAUUACUUGUUAGACCAAAUAUCACUUACACCUUAACAUGCCAUAAAACCAAAUAUAUUAUUCCACAUAUCAGUUCCAGUGUUUACAUAUCUCAGUUGAUACAAGUAUUAAUAAAAGGCAGUGACCUACCACCCUAAAGUCCAAACACUUAACAUAAAACCCCACACUUCAUUAAUUCUGCACACGGAUUCUGCUAUCGGGACUUUUAGAAGUGGUGGUUAGGCUGUGGUAAGUUCCUUUCGAAGGUUAAUGGGAGAUCUCUUUCAAAAGUCGUCCAUGUUUUGCACAAACCGCAAUCCCCCACAAAGAUACGUUAGUAGGUUUUCCGGACCAACCACAAUGUUUUACGUCAUCGUAAACCAAUAUUCAGCCAAUCAGAUAGUGUGACGUCAUAAGCAGGCAUAGGGCCCCAAGCAGAUCCGACCACCCAAGCAGAUCUGGUACCUACACAGUCUCCCACAUGAACAGUUAUCAAAUUUGGUCUAUAUUUUAAAUACUCUAGACAUUUAUUUUUAACUUAGUGUCAGUUAGUGUCAGUUACAAAUAUAUGUUGUUGCUCAGACAAGGCCUAAGCCAAGCCGACAGAGGUGGUUCUCUGAAGAGAACCAAUAUUGCUUUAAUCAUUUUUGAGGUGUACCUGCAAAGAAGAGAAAGUUAGUGAACAAAUGAGCACAGAGGCGCUGCUUUUAUAGAGGCCGUAUGCAAAUGAGACUAUGCCAUUGCCUGCUUCUGAUUGGCUCUAGUCGGGGGAUCAAAGUCAUUGCAGGCUCUGAUGUCACUCUGUGACAUGUGGUUGAGUUCUUUAAUACAUAUCACUGGAUUGGAUAUCACGUGACUGUCACAUGACACGGGUGCAUUGUUGCUAUGCAACGACUCAGGACUGCUGCAGUAGCAGCGUCAGAAGUACACAAAACUGAUUCUUUAUGAAACUAGGUUGUUUACGGUGUGUGUCUGGAACUAUUACUUGUUAGACCAAAUAUCACUUACACCUUAACAUGCCAUAAAACCAAAUAUAUUAUUCCACAUAUCAGUUCCAGUGUUUACAUAUCUCAGUUGAUACAAGUAUUAAUAAAAGGCAGUGACCUACCACCCUAAAGUCCAAACACUUAACAUAAAACCCCACACUUCAUUAAUUCUGCACACGGAUUCUGCUAUCGGGACUUUUAGAAGUGGUGGUUAGGCUGUGGUAAGUUCCUUUCGAAGGUUAAUGGGAGAUCUCUUUCACAAGUCGUCCAUGUUUUGUACAAACCGCAAUCCCCCACAAAGAUACGUUAGUAGGUUGUCCGGACCAACCACAAUGUUUUACGUCAUCGUAAACCAAUAUUCAGCCAAUCAGAUAGUGUGACGUCAUAAGCAGGCAUAGGGCCCCAAGCAGAUCCGACCACCCAAGCAGAUCUGGUACCUACACAGUCUCCCACAUGAACAGUUAUCAAAUUUGGUCUAUAUUUUAAAUACUCUAGACAUUUAUUUUUAACUUAGUGUCAGUUAGUGUCAGUUACAAAUAUAUGUUGUUGCUCAGACAGGGCCUAAGCCAAGCCGACAGAGGUGGUUCUCUAGAGAGAACCAAUAUUGCUUUAAUCAUUUUUGAGGUGUACCUGCAAAGAAGAGAAAGUUAGUGAACAAAUGAGCACAGAGGCGCUGCUUUUAUAGAGGCCGUAUGCAAAUGAGACUAUGCCAUUGCCUGCUUCUGAUUGGCUCUAGUCGGGGGAUCAAAGUCAUUGCUGGCUCUGAUGUCACUCUGUGACAUGUGGUUGAGUUCUUUAAUACAUAUCACUGGAUUGGAUAUCACGUGACUGUCACAUGACACGGGUGCAUUGUUGCUAUGCAACGACUCAGGACUGCUGCAGUAGCAGCGUCAGAAGUACACAAAACUGAUUCUUUAUGAAACUAGGUUGUUUACGGUGUGUGUCUGGAACUAUUACUUGUUAGACCAAAUAUCACUUACACCUUAACAUGCCAUAAAACCAAAUAUAUUAUUCCACAUAUCAGUUCCAGUGUUUACAUAUCUCAGUUGAUACAAGUAUUAAUAAAAGGCAGUGACCUACCACCCUAAAGUCCAAACACUUAACAUAAAACCCCACACUUCAUUAAUUCUGCACACGGAUUCUGCUAUCGGGACUUUUAGAAGUGGUGGUUAGGCUGUGGUAAGUUCCUUUCGAAGGUUAAUGGGAGAUCUCUUUCACAAGUCGUCCAUGUUUUGUACAAACCGCAAUCCCCCACAAAGAUACGUUAGUAGGUUGUCCGGACCAACCACAAUGUUUUACGUCAUCGUAAAACCAAUAUUCAGCCAAUCAGAUAGUGUGACGUCAUAAGCAGGCAUAGGGCCCCAAGCAGAUCCGACCACCCAAGCAGAUCUGGUACCUACACAGUCUCCCACAUGAACAGUUAUCAAAUUUGGUCUAUAUUUUAAAUACUCUAGACAUUUAUUUUUAACUUAGUGUCAGUUAGUGUCAGUUACAAAUAUAUGUUGUUGCUCAGACAGGGCCUAAGCCAAGCCGACAGAGGUGGUUCUCUAGAGAGAACCAAUAUUGCUUUGAUCAUUUUUCAGGUGUACCUGCAAAGAAGAGAAAGUUAGUAAACAAAUGAGCACAGAGGCGCUGCUUUUAUAGAGGCCGUAUGCAAAUGAGACUAUGCCAUUGCCUGCUUCUGAUUGGCUCUAGUCGGGGGAUCAAAGUCAUUGCUGGCUCUGAUGUCACUCUGUGACAUGUGGUUGAGUUCUUUAAUACAUAUCACUGGAUUGGAUAUCACAUGACUGUCACAUGACACGGGUGCAUUGUUGCUAUGCAACAACUCAGGACUGCUGCAGUAGCAGCGUCAGAAGUACACAAAACUGAUUCUUUAUGAAACUAGGUUGUUCACGGUGUGUGUCUGGAACUAUUACUUGUUAGACCAAAUAUCACUUAUACCUUAACAUGCCAUAAAACCAAAUAUAUUAUUCCACAUAUCAGUUCCAGUGUUUACAUAUCUCUGUUGAUAGAAAUAUUAAUAAAAGGCAGUAACCUCCCACCCUAAAGUCUUAACUACUUAACAUCAAACCCACACUUCAUUGAUUGUGCAUACUGGUGUUGCUCUCGGGACUUUUAGAAGUGGUGGUUAGGCUGUGGUAAGUUCAUAUCGAAGGAUAAUGGGAGAUUUCUUUCAAAAGUCAUCUAUCUAUGUUUCGUACAAACAGCAUUCCCCCCUAAAGGUACAUUAGUAGGUUGUCGGGACAAAUCACAAUGAUUUAUGUCAACGUGCCAAUAUUCAGCCAGUCAGAUAGUGUGAUGUCAUCAGCAGGCAUAGGGCCCCAAGCAGAUCCGACCACCCAAGCAGAUCUGGUACCUACACAGUCUCCCACAUGAGCAGUUAUCAAAUUUGGUCUAUAUUUUCAAUACUCUAGACAUUUAUUUUUAACUUAGUGUCAGUUAGUGUCAGUUAAAAAUAUAUGUUGUUGCUCAGACAGGGCCUAAGCCAAGCCGACAGAGGUGGUUCUCUCUAGAGAACCAAUAUUGCUUUGAUCAUUUUUGAGGUGUACCUGCAAAGAAGAGAAAGUUAUUGAACAAAUGAGCACAGAGGCGCUGCUUUUAUAGAGGCCGUAUGCAAAUGAGACUAUGCCAUUGCCUGCUUCUGAUUGGCUCUAGUCGGGGGAUCAAAGUCAUUGCUGGCUCUGAUGUCACUCUGUGACAUGUGGUUGAGUUCUUUAAUACAUAUCACUGGAUUGGAUAUCACGUGACUGUCACAUGACACGGGUGCAUUGUUGCUAUGCAACGACUCAGGACUGCUGCAGAAGCAGAGUCAGAAGUACACAAAACUGAUUCUUUAUGAAACUAGGUUGUUUACGGUGUGUGUCUGGAACUAUUACUUGUUAGACCAAAUAUCACUUAUACCUUAACAUGCCAUAAAACCAAAUAUAUUAUUCCACAUAUCAGUUCCAGUGUUUACAUAUCUCCGUUGAUACAAGUAUUAAUAAAAGGCAGUGACCUACCACCCUAAAGUCCAAACACUUAACAUAAAACCCCACACUUCAUUAAUUCUGCACACGGAUUCUGCUAUCGGGACUUUUAGAAGUGGUGGUUAGGCUGUGGUAAGUUCCUUUCGAAGGUUAAUGGGAGAUCUCUUUCAAAAGUCGUCCAUGUUUUGUACAAACCGCAAUCCCCCACAAAGAUACGUUAGUAGGUUGUCCGGACCAACCACAAUGUUUUACGUCAUCGUUAAACCAAUAUUCAGCCAAUCAGAUAGUGUGACGUCAUAAGCAGGCAUAGGGCCCCAAGCAGAUCCGACCACCCAAGCAGAUCUGGUACCUACACAGUCUCCCACAUGAACAGUUAUCAAAUUUGGUCUAUAUUUUCAAUACUCUAGACAUUUAUUUUUAACUUAGUGUCAGUUAGUGUCAGUUACAAAUAUAUGUUGUUGCUCAGACAGGGCCUAAGCCAAGCCGACAGAGGUGGUUCUCUAGAGAGAACCAAUAUUGCUUUGAUCAUUUUUCAGGUGUACCUGCAAAGAAGAGAAAGUUAGUAAACAAAUGAGCACAGAGGCGCUGCGUUUAUAGAGGCCGUAUGCAAAUGAGACUAUGCCAUUGCCUGCUUCUGAUUGGCUCUAGUCGGGGGAUCAAAGUCAUUGCUGGCUCUGAUGUCACUCUGUGACAUGUGGUUGAGUUCUUUAAUACAUAUCACUGGAUUGGAUAUCACGUGACUGUCACAUGACACGGGUGCAUUG